AGCGUCCCACGUGUACCGCAAAUAAGUCCCAAGUUGUCAUUACGGUCCAUUACCGAUACUAAUACUGCACGGUGGUGCACGACAUGACGAAAUCAUUUCAUAAAAUUGUUCGCGUUUAAAAAAGCGCGCGCAUUUUUUUAGAUUCUUCUCGGAAUCAUUCAGUGAAGAUCACAAUAUGGAGAAGUGAACGCCAGACGAUGUUCAGUCACAAAAUAAUGUAUUAUGUGCUAAUAAUUGUCCCUUUACUGAUAUGUAUUAUAUAGCAUAUAAUAAAUAAUGUAAAAUGCCGUGAAAUUGAUUUGGAUUUUAUAUUUAGCUUAGGAACUUCGUUCAAAUUGUGAAGCGAUCACAGUACAUAAUGUAGACAACCAUACUAUGAUCGCUAUAUAUUUACAUAUGUAAUUGUUAUUUCAAUAGUCUAUUAACACGCAUGCCGCAGAUUGAAAGAUGAAAAAAUACUAAUUCUAAAAUAUGUCUAAUCAAAUUUACAAUCCUAAUAUUAUUUGAAUUUCCUUCAUCCAACUAAAUUAUGAACAGUAUUUCUUAUUGUCUUGGACAUCCACAAUCGUGUCGGCACCAAAGUGAUUUUGACAUUUUGAUUAGGUUUCUCACACGUAUAGGUAGGUACUAGCGAUGUAUCCAAUGUUCCUAAAUAGUAUAGUGUUAGUGGAUUAUAUGUAGUAAUAUACGUAUAAUUAAAUGUAGCGGGAAUUUAAAACUCUUGGUGCUGUAUUAGUCUCAACAGGUCACUUAGUUAGACUUUGUCUAUAGUCUUUGUUUUAUUGUCUAUGACGGCUAACUUGUUUGCACAGACUAUACCCACGUUUAUUAGAUGUAUUAAACAUUCCAAAUGUUUCUGUCCAUCUUUAGUCUUCUUUUGGCUUUACUAAUUGAAUACUGGAUAAAAGUAAAAAAAGGAAGUAUAUUUGUUACAAGGAAAUAGAGAAAUUAAUUAAUGAGGUAUUACAUGAUGAAACCGAAUCAAUUCCACAGCGCAAUAGUGCCAAAGAUUAAAUAAUAAAGAGUAUAUUUGUUUUAAAAA